GCCGAAAUAGCUCAGCUGGGAGAGCAUUAGACUGAAGACCUGAAGGUCCCUGGUUUAAUCCCGGGUUUUGGCA